rnacentral:rRNA from 1 species
AUGCUCUACUCCUCCGUCGUCUACUUGCACAACUACGGCUUCAUCCCGCGCACCCUCUGCGACGACUCCGACCCCAUCGACGUCCUCGUCAUCAUGCAGGAGCCCGUCGUCCCGGGGUGCUUCCUCCGCGCCAAGGCCAUCGGACUCAUGCCCAUGAUCGACCAGGGCGAGGCCGACGACAAGAUCAUCGCCGUCUGCGCCGACGACCCCGAGUACCGCCACUUCAACGACAUCAAGGAGUUGCCUCCCCACCGGCUCGCCAAAAUCAGGCGAUUCUUCGAAGACUACAAGAAGAACGAGAACAAGGAGGUGGCCGUCAACGACUUCCUGCCGUCAGAGGUCGCCUACGAGGCCAUCCAGCACUCCAUGGAUCUUUAUGCUACUUACAUUGUCGAGGGCCUGAGAAGAUAG